AGUGAACGCUGGCGGUAGGCCUAACACAUGCAAGUCGAACGGCAGCACAGUAAGAGCUUGCUCUUACGGGUGGCGAGUGGCGGACGGGUGAGGAAUACAUCGGAAUCUACUUUUUCGUGGGGGAUAACGUAGGGAGACUUACGCUAAUACCGCAUACGACCUACGGGUGAAAGCAGGGGAUCUUCGGACCUUGCGCGAUUGAAUGAGCCGAUGUCGGAUUAGCUAGUUGGCGGGGUAAAGGCCCCCCAAGGCGACGAUCCGUAGCUGGUCUGAGAGGAUGAUCAGCCACACUGGAACUGAGACACGGUCCAGACUCCUACGGGAGGCAGCAGUGGGGAAUAUUGGACAAUGGGCGCAAGCCUGAUCCAGCCAUACCGCGUGGGUGAAGAAGGCCUUCGGGUUGUAAAGCCCUUUUGUUGGGAAAGAAAAGCAGCAGGUUAAUACCCCGCUGUUCUGACGGUACCCAAAGAAUAAGCACCGGCUAACUUCGUG
rnacentral:rRNA from 1 species